rnacentral:rRNA from 1 species
AACGAACGCUGGCGGCAGGCCUAACACAUGCAAGUCGAGCGAACCCUUCGGGGUUAGCGGCGGACGGGUUAGUAACGCGUGGGAAUAUACCCUUUGGUACGGAAUAGCCUCGGGAAACUGAGAGUAAUACCGUAUAUGCCCUUCGGGGAAGGAUUAUCGCCAAGGAUUAGCCCGCGUUGGAUUAGAUAGUUGGUGGGGUAAGUGGCCUACCAAGUCUACGAUCCAUAGCUGGUUUGAGAGGAUGAUCAGCAACACUGGGACUGAGACACGGCCCAGACUCCUACGGGAGGCAGCAGUGGGGAAUCUUAGACAAUGGGCGCAAGCCUGAUCUAGCCAUGCCGCGUGGACGAUGAAGGCCUUAGGGUUGUAAAGUCCUUUUCAGAUGGGAAGAUAAUGACGGUACCAUCAGAAGAAGCCCCGGCUAACUCCGUGCCAGCAGCCGCGGUAAAGUCUGUACU